rnacentral:rRNA from 1 species
GUGGGGAAUAUUGCACAAUGGGGGAAACCCUGAUGCAGCAACGCCGCGUGAGUGAUGAAGGUCUUCGGAUUGUAAAACUCUGUCUUUGGGGACGAUAAUGACGGUACCCAAGGAGGAAGCCACGGCUAACUACGUGCCAGCAGCCGCGGUAAUACGUAGGUGGCAAGCGUUGUCCGGAUUUACUGGGCGUAAAGGGAGCGUAGGCGGAUUUUUAAGUGGGAUGUGAAAUACCCGGGCUUAACCUGGGUGCUGCAUUCCAAACUGGAAGUCUAGAGUACAGGAGGGGAAAGUGGAAUUCCUAGUGUAGCGGUGAAAUGCGUAGAGAUUAGGAAGAACACCGGUGGCGAAGGCGACUUUCUGGACUGUAACUGACGCUGAGGCUCGAAAGCGUGGGGAGCAAGCAGGAUUAGAAACCCUUGUAGUCC